rnacentral:rRNA from 1 species
ACGGUCUCGUACCGGCGACGCAUCUUUCAAAUGUCUGCCUUAUCAACUUUCGAUGGUAGUUUCUGCGACUACCAUGGUUGUCACGGGUAACGGGGAAUCAGGGUUCGAUUCCGGAGAGGGAGCCUGAGAAACGGCUACCACAUCCAAGGAAGGCAGCAGGCGCGCAAAUUACCCACUCCCGGCACGGGGAGGUAGUGACGAAAAAUAACGAUACGGGACUCUUACGAGGCCUCGUAAUCGGAAUGAGUACACUUUAAAUAUUUUAACGAGGAACAAUUGGAGGGCAAGUCUGGUGCCAGCAGCCGCGGUAAUACCAGCUCCAAUAGCGUAUACUAAAAUUGUUGCGGUUAAAAAGCUCGUAGUUGCAUUUGUGCGCCGCGCUGUCGGUGCACCGCAUCUGCGGUGAUACUGACACGUUUGCGGAGCAUAUCGUCGGUGAGCCUUCGGUAAAACGGAGGUUCAAUAUCAAAAAUCCUAUCGCGGUGCUCUUUAUUGAGUGUCGAGAUGGGCCGACAAUUUUACUUUGAACAAAUUAGAGUGCUUAAAGCGGGCUCAAAAUGCUGCUUGAAUAUUUCGUGCAUGGAAUAAUAGAAUAUGAUCUCGGUUCUAUUUUGUUGGUUUUCAGAACUCCGAGGUAAUGAUUAAUAGGGAUAACUGGGGGCAUUCGUAUUGCGACGUUAGAGGUGAAAUUCUUGGAUCGUCGCAAGACGAACAUCAGCGAAAGCAUUUGCCAAAGGUGUUUUCAUCAAUCAAGAACGAAAGUUAGAGGUUCGAAGGCGAUUAGAUACCGCCCUAGUUCUAACCGUAAAUAUGUCAUCUAAUGAUCCUUCCGCAGGUUCCCCUACGGAAACCUUGUUACGACUUUUACUUCCUCUAAAUGAUCAAGUUUGGUCAACUUCCCAACAACGCCGACGGCCGUGAAGCCAUCGCGUGUCGGUCCGAAGACCUCACUAAAUCAUUCAAUCGGUAGUAGCGACGGGCGGUGUGUACAAAGGGCAGGGACGUAAUCAACGCGAGCUUAUGACUCGCGCUUACUAGGAAUUCCUCGUUUAUGGGGGAUAAUUGCAAACCCCAAUCCCCAGCACGAAGGAGUUUCAGCGGGUUGCCCGGGCCUCUAGGCCAGGGAGAACAUGCUGAUUCCUUCAGU